CCUACGGGAGGCAGCAGUGAGGAAUAUUGCGCAAUGGGGGCAACCCUGACGCAGCGACGCCGCGUGAGUGAGGAAGGCCUUCGGGUCGUAAAGCUCUGUCAGCAGGGAAGAAGUGCAACAUGGUUAAUAUCUGUGUUGUUUGACGGUACCUGCAAAGGAAGCACCGGCUAACUCCGUG
rnacentral:rRNA from 1 species